rnacentral:rRNA from 1 species
AGAGUUUGAUCAUGGCUCAGGAUGAACGCUGGCGGCGUGCUUAACACAUGCAAGUCGAACGGACUUUUAUUGAAACCUGGUGAUAUGAAAGUUAGUGGCGGACGGGUGAGUAACGCGUGGGUAACCUGCCGUAUACAGGGGGAUAACACUUAGAAAUAGGUGCUAAAACCGCAUAAGCGCACAGCUUCGCAUGAAGCAGUGUGAAAAACUCCGGUGGUAUACGAUGGACCCGCGUCUGAUUAGCCAGUUGGCAGGGUAACGGCCUACCAAAGCGACGAUCAGUAGCCGGCCUGAGAGGGUGAACGGCCACAUUGGGACUGAGACACGGCCCAAACUCCUACGGGAGGCAGCAGUGGGGAAUAUUGCACAAUGGGGGAAACCCUGAUGCAGCGACGCCGCGUGAGUGAAGAAGUAUUUCGGUAUGUAAAGCUCUAUCAGCAGGGAAGAAAAUGACGGUACCUGAGAAAGAAGCCCCGGCUAACUACGUGCCAGCAGCCGCGGUAAUACGUAGGGGGCAAGCGUUAUCCGGAUUUACUGGGUGUAAAGGGAGCGUAGACGGUUGUGCAAGUCUGGAGUGAAAUGCGGGGGCUCAACCCCUGAACUGCUUUGGAAACUGUGUAACUGGAGUGCAGGAGAGGUAAGUGGAAUUCCUAGUGUAGCGGUGAAAUGCGUAGAUAUUAGGAGGAACACCAGUGGCGAAGGCGGCUUACUGGACUGUAACUGACGUUGAGGCUCGAAAGCGUGGGGAGCAAACAGGAUUAGAUACCCUGGUAGUCCACGCCGUAAACGAUGAUUACCAG